UACGGAGGAUCCAAGCGUUAUCCGGAAUUACUGGGCGUAAAGAGUUGCGUAGGUGGCAGAGUAAGUUAGUAGUGAAAGCAUGGGGCUCAACCUCAUUCACAUUACUAAAACUGCUCAGCUAGAGGAUGAGAGAGGUCGCUGGAAUUCCUAGUGUAGGAGUGAAAUCCGUAGAUAUUAGGAGGAACACCGAUGGCGUAGGCAGGCGACUGGCUCAUUCCUGACACUAAGGCACGAAAGCGUGGGGAGCAAACGGG
rnacentral:rRNA from 1 species